GAUUAGAGUUUGAUCCUGGCUCAGAAUAAACGCUGGCGGCGUGCCUAACACAUGCAAGUCGAGCGAGAAAGUUCCUUCGGGAAUGAGUACAGCGGCGGACGGGUGAGCAACGCGUGAGUAAUCUGCCCUUCAGUGAAGAAUACCGCCGAGAAAUCGGUGUUAAUGCUGCAUACGUCCCUUCGGGGAGAAAAGUGGCCUCUUUGCUGCUGCUGAAGGAUGAGCUUGCGUACUAUUAGCUAGUUGGUAGGGUAAAGGCCUACCAAGGCGAUGAUGGUUAACCGGCCUGAGAGGGUGUUCGGUCACACUGGAACUGAGAAACGGUCCAGACUCCUACGGGAGGCAGCAGUGAGGAAUAUUGCGCAAUGGGCGAAAGCCUGACGCAGCGACGCCGCGUGGAGGAUGAAGGUCUUCGGAUUGUAAGCUUCUGUUAAGUGGGAAGAAAAAG
rnacentral:rRNA from 1 species